rnacentral:rRNA from 1 species
UACGGAGGGUGCGAGCGUUGUCCGGAAUCAUUGGGCGUAAAGGGCGCGUAGGUGGCCCGGUCAGUCUUUGGUGAAAGCGCGGGGCUCAACCCUGCGUCGGCCAGGGAUACUGCCGCGGCUCGAGCACUGUAGAGGCAGGCGGAAUCCGGGUGUAGCGGUGGAAUGCGUAGAGAUCCGGAAGAACACCGGUGGCGAAGGCGGCCUGCUGGGCAGUUUAGCUGACACUGAGGCGCGACAGCGUGGGGAGCAAACAGG